GUAGGUGGCAAGCGUUGUCCGGAAUUAUUGGGCGUAAAGCGCGCGCAGGUGGUUCUUUAAGUCUGAUGUGAAAGCCCCCGGCUCAACCGGGGAGGGUCAUUGGAAACUGGGGAACUUGAGUGCAGGAGAGGAAAGUGGAAUUCCACGUGUAGCGGUGAAAUGCGUAGAUAUGUGGAGGAACACCAGUGGCGAAGGCGACUUUCUGGCCUGUAACUGACACUGAGGCGCGAAAGCGUGGGGAGCAAACAGGGAUUAGAUACCCUGGUAGUCCACGCCGUUAACGAUGAGUGCUAAGUGUUGGGGGGGUUUCCCGCCCCUCAGUGCUGCAGCUAACGCAUUAAGCACUCCGCCUGGGGAUACGGUCGCAAGACUG
rnacentral:rRNA from 1 species